rnacentral:rRNA from 1 species
UCUGAAUGGAGCUAGCGUCGUUCGGAAUCACUGGGCGUAAAGCGCACGUAGGCGGACGUGUCAGUCAGGGGUGAAAUCCCGGGGCUCAACCUCGGAACUGCCUUUGAUACAGCACGUCUUGAGUCCGGAAGAGGUGGGUGGAAUUCCUAGUGUAGAGGUGAAAUUCGUAGAUAUUAGGAAGAACACCGGUGGCGAAGGCGGCCCACUGGUCCGGUACUGACGCUGAGGUGCGAAAGCGUGGGGAGAAAACAGG